rnacentral:rRNA from 1 species
CAGCCGCCGCGGUAAUACCGAGGGUGCAAGCGUUAAUCGGAAUUACUGGGCGUAAAGCGCGCGUAGGUGGUUUGUUAAGUUGGAUGUGAAAUCCCCGGGCUCAACCUGGGAACUGCAUCCAAAACUGGCAGGCUAGAGUAGGGCAGAGGGUGGUGGAAUUUCCUGUGUAGCGGUGAAAUGCGUAGAUAUAGGAAGGAACACCAGUGGCGAAGGCGACCACCUGGGCUCAUACUGACACUGAGGUGCGAAAGCGUGGGGAGCAAACAGGAUUAGAUACCCGUGUAGUCCCUGUCUCUUAUAC